rnacentral:rRNA from 1 species
UGGGGAAUAUUGGACAAUGGGCGAAAGCCUGAUCCAGCCAUGCCGCGUGUGUGAAGAAGGUCUUCGGAUUGUAAAGCACUUUAAGUUGGGCGGAAGGGCAGUAAGCGAAUACCUUGCUGUUUUGACGUUACCGACAGAAUAAGCACCGGCUAACUCUGUGCCAGCAGCCGCGGUAAUACAGAGGGUGCAAGCGUUAAUCGGAAUUACUGGGCGUAAAGCGCGCGUAGGUGGUUCGUUAAGUUGAAUGUGAAAGCCCCGGGCUCAACCUGGGAACUGCAUCCAAAACUGGCGAGCUAGAGUAGGGCAGAGGGUGGUGGAAUUUCCUGUGUAGCGGUGAAAUGCGUAGAUAUAGGAAGGAACACCAGUGGCGAAGGCGACCACCUGGGCUCAUACUGACACUGAGGUGCGAAAGCGUGGGGAGCAAACAGG